CAAAGUUUCAACAUCUAUUGACAUGACCCUAAUAGGAAACUCCUACCCUCCAUCACAAGGGUCAUUUAGGGCAGAUGUAAGGUCAUACCUAGACCCAAUCAUAGGGUACUUGUUAUAUGCAAGUGCACCUUUAUUAGUAAAUGUGUACCCUUAUUUUAGUUAUUCUGGUAACCCACGUGAUAUAUCUCUUCCUUAUGCUCUUUUUACUUCCCCUAAUGUUGUGGUAAGAGAUGGACAAUAUCAGUAUCAAAACCUUUUUGAUGCUAUGUUGGAUUCAGUGCAUGCAGCUAUUGAUAACACUGGAAUUGGUUAUGUUGAGGUUGUUGUGUCCGAAAGUGGUUGGCCUUCAGAUGGAGGGGCUGCAACUUCUUAUGAUAAUGCACGCAUUUAUUUGGAUAAUUUGAUUCGUCAUGUUAAAGGAGGUACACCAAGAAGACCAUGGAAGGCUACAGAAACUUAUUUGUUUGCUAUGUUUGAUGAGAAUCAGAAGAGUCCAGAGUUGGAGAAACAUUUUGGACUCUUCUCUGCCAAUAAACAAAAGAAGUACCCUUUUGGAUUUGGUGGAGAAAGGAUCAAUGAAGUUGUUGCUGCUAGUGAUUUUAAUGCAACAAAUCCUCUAAAGAGUGAUAUUUAAGGUUGGAAUUCAAGUCCUCAUCAGGGUCUAUGUAAUACAGUGCACAAAAUAAGAGAGAGAAUCUCAUGUUUUUCUUAUUACAUCAUCUCAAUAUAGAUCGUUUAAUACAAUGUAAUAUGUGAAGAAGUUUGAUAGUUUUUGGAGAAUGUUUAGGUUUUAUGUUGUUUGGUCAUUUCAUCUUAUGACACAUUAUGGACUUGUGAAAUAAAUCAUGAAAAUGGUUAUCCAUUGGAUUGGAUUCUUAUGUUAUAUAAACGGUUCUGAUUGAUGUAUAGACCCAAUCUCAUUCAUCAAGAAUUGUGUUGCUUCAAUGCUUUGUCUAAAGUUUUAAGACAUAAUUACAUAUCUUAGGUAUAUGGGUUAGGGUAUCAUCUCUUAUACUCAUCCAAUAAAAUUCUCUUUGAUUACCAAAAAUCACAUACAUAAAAAAAAACUUGUUCAUCUAUCCCCAACCAAUUAGAUUGUAGCAUUUUAAUUUUAGGAAUUUAAGUUGUAUUUAAGUAACACUUUUAAAUGGACAAUAAUGUGAACAAGUGAUUUCAGUUUAUGGAUCUUCAUGCUAAUAAUAAAUAAUCCAUAUAGUUUCCAAUAAGUAAAUAAAUAAAAGGAUUUGCUAAAUUAAAAUUUUAAAGCAAUUUAUUAGGACCCAACAUAACAAAAUUAACAAAUGUGGCCUUAAAUGAUAUUUAUUUCCAACAUCAAACUAUUUCACAAGUGUUUUUCAAACCACUUAGAUAAAAAUAACACAUUUAAUUCAAAUUCCCAACAUAUCAAUUUUACAACAGUUUCUUACAAACCACUUGAAGGGUGCUAGAUCAGUAAGGGGCUUUCAUUAUCAACAAAAAUAAUUAAUCAUUUAUUCAUUAGGUGACAUCAAAUACAUAAAUCAAAAUUUGACGUUAUAAUAUUCUAUAAUAAGUUAAUAUUCUAUAAUAAAUGAUGUUUAUUUACAAACAAAAAAAAUCACUAUGGGCUCUUAUCAUAAUCAGAAAAUCCAACCCCAAUAAAUAGAACAAUGAAGUGAAACCAGAAAAACAACUAAAGCCUAAUGUUCCUUCAUGCCUUGAAUAUUGCGCUUUACCUUUAUUCUUUUCUUCCUCCUUGUUGCAGGCCAAACUCCAUUUUCUAACAGUUAACAACAAAAUUACAUUAUAUUUGUGCCAGAAGGAAAUAACCAACUCUUAAGAAUUAAUAUUCAAUAAUGGUCAAGUUCAAAUUUAAAUCAACAAAAAAAACUGUAUUUAAAUUAUUAAAAUACUAGUGUGUAUAGACCCUUUGUGCCUGCCAGCGAAUAUUGUGUGAUACUACAUAUUCAAUUUUUAUAUAUUAUAUUUCUGUUUGUUUAUGAUAAUGUUUAAUUUAUGGUGAGAUGUGUGGUUAAUUAAUGUAUUACUAGUAGUUAGUUAGGAUUAUUUGUAAAAAUUAAAUAAUGUUAAGGGCAAUAUAAGAAAUGAAAAUGACAUGAGAAAAGAUAUUUCAAAUUUUGGCUUUAUAUAUAGUAUAGAUGAAUAAACUCCAAAUUAGACAGGGAAUUAUGAUAUUGAAAUUUGCAUCACUUACUGUUUAAAGUAUUAGACUGUAUAUUGCUUUGCAUUAAUAUUUUUUAUUUUCAUUAAAAAAAACUGGUAUGACCCUACAGUUCAAUUGAAAAUCGACCGAUAUGAUCGGUUUUGGCCGGUUUUACUGGUUUUGGCCAGUUUUACUGGUUUUGACCAAUAUAAUUACAUAACCGAUAUAAUUAUUAUACCAUAUUGAUAUCUGGACCAAUUCACCGAUCUAUCAGUUGAAUUGGUUGGUAUGAAACAAUUUUAACAUUAUUGAACGCCACAUGCAUUGAUACUACAAUGUGGGGCAUGAUUGGUUGUACAUUUGAUGUGAAGAAUAAAAUAUGGAAACUAAAAGUGGUUUCAUGGUUGACUUGAGAGUAAUACACUAAUACAGCAGCCUUAACUGAAAGUGGAAUAGAUGAAAAGGACCAGAGCCACCACCACCAUUUUUUCCAAGUAUGUGACAAAGAUGGCAAAUUUUCAUGUCUUUGACAGAGAUUGUUAUUAAUGUAAAUAUUAUUAAUAAUACAACUGGUUAAAUACUUGUUAUGGAGAACUUUAUCAUUUAUAAUAAUAUUUCAGCUCAAGCAAGAUUACAUCCAAUAAAUGGAGGAUGUGCAUAAUUUAAAAGAAAAUAAUAUUACUUGUAUCAUAUCCUCAUCAAGAAAACAAAUAUAAAAUGAUAAAGUUUCUAAAGUAUAUAUAAUGUCAUAUGAAAAUACUUUAUUGGUAAUAGUUAAUUUAUACAUCUAAAAAUUAAUAUGUGUUGGAUCUGCGACCGAUGAGCCUUCGACCACCGGGGAGUUCUAUUGUUAGAUAGGUAUGGGAAGAGUGAAAAGUCAUAAGUGGGACAUCACGUCUUGAGUCAAAACUCUAAGACAUUAGUUUCAUGGACAUUUCUUUUUUAUAAACUCUUUCCCUACUUCUCAUAUAUUUAAUGUGAGACUUCACACUUGAAUAUACCCAACAAAAUUUCUUAUUUUUGGUGUUUGACAUGUUCAAGUCACUUCUAUUCAUCCAUGUAGCCGCCGGUGACCAGUUGCAUCUUUUAAAAAAAAUCCAACUGCAUUGUAACGUUGCUACACACAAAAAAAAACUAGUUGAUGAAUAAUAUAUUUUAAUAUUUAUAUAUAAUAAAUACAUCCUAUCCAAUUAAGUUUAGCAUGAGUCCUUGGAAAGUAAAAUCAUCACCCCUUUUCAACAAAAUUCAAACCAUAUACAAGAUAAAUUUUGUACAGUUCCAUCCUUAUAGUUUCAACUAAAUUAAAAUAUUGAUGGUUUAUUAAUGAUUUGAAAGUUCAAGCUAUAUAAUUAUUUUAAUUAAUGAUUCAGAUAUUACUGAUUCAAACCAUACAACAAAUUUUCAUAUUUUUGGGUGAGUGAUACAGUAAUUUCUCAUAUACCACCAAAAGGUACGCGCGUAUGGCAUAUCUUUAAGUUCAUGCAUUUAAGAUGAGUUGAUUUUUAUAACUAUUAACAUCAAAAUGGUGCAAUACAUUUUCAUUCUUAAAUGUAUUCAUGAUUAUUUUCUAUUUGUUUAUAUUUUCCAACAACUUAAUAAUUCAAGUCAAAAUCACUUUUAAUUGUGCAAUUCUAUUUUCAUUCUUAAUUGACCCACAAAUCUACUCCACAUUUAUAUUUCUCUUUCUGUAACAAAUUUUUUCCAUUUCUUAAUGUUGACUCGCAACUUUAAGAAUGGUGUUUAUUUAAUUUACCGUUGCGAAAUAAGAAUAAGAAUGACUUCUCUCCACUAGUAAACUUAGACGAAGAACAUACUUAUUUAAUUAAGAACAACUUUUUGUUACCAUUGUGGGUGCUCUAAGAAAUACUAUUUGUAGAUAUUUUUUAUAAAGGAAAAUUGUAUUAAACCGAACAAGUAUCCACCCAAUAUAAAAAAUGGUCAACUUCACAAUAGUAAAACUUAUUAUUAUACAAAACUUUGAAUUCUUACAUCAAUUUGUAAAAUUAAAUUUUUCUUUUUCAUAUUGAAAAGGUUUGUAACUUCCAUUAUUUAUAUGGGUGAAAGGACUAGUCUUCAACCUAUAAUUUUUUUAAAGUUAAAUUAAAGUAUGCCUAUUUCGCAUUCAAUUCUAACCUACCCACUCUCUCCUCUCACCCUAUGUUUUCAUACAUCUUUAUUAAUCACAAAAAUGAGUUUUAUAUAUUGUUGGUAUGUUAUUCAUCACUUAUAUAUUAAUUAUAAUUGUUUUUUAAAUAAAAAAAUUUAUUCGAUAAAUGUUAAUAUUUUAUUAUUGUUAGGAUUUGAACCACACAACUUCCUUCACUCUAUAACCAUUAAGGUCCUUUAUGGCUCUCACUUUUAAAUAAAUCAAUAUUUAUGAAUGAUGACUAAAAUAUAUGUUGGCAUAAAUUUUUUGACAUUAUCCUGUAUAUAUAUUAAACUCAGUCAAAUAUAUUUUGUACAUAUUUGAGCAUAUCCAUUUUAUAUUUUGUACAUAAUUGAGCAUAUCCAUUUUCUUUUUAUGAGUGUGAAAGCUUUAGAGACUAAAUUUAUAGGAUAAAGAUGUCAUGAUGUUGCCAACUCGAUCCAUUUAAAGACCACUGGCUCUCUAAGUCUCUAUUCAUGCAUAUUUUUUAGUAAACAAAUAUUUUAUUGCUAAAUUUACACACUCUCUUAUUAGAUAUUUCGACCAAAUUAAAGUAUAAUAUAUAUUUGGUUCUUAUGAAUACGUACCUUGAAGAUAUUUGUUAAGAAAAAUAUUAAUGAAAAAAAAACGUACUUAGAAGUAUUAAAUUCACGGUUUUUCAAAUUGAAAUAAGUUUCUUUUAUUAUAUUAAUUAAUACUUUUAAGGCACUUAUUAACAUUUCCUUAUAUAAUCUUAAGCAUUUCACUCACACAUGACCAUACUAAAGAAAAGUAAAAGACAAAAAAUAUACAUAUACGAAGAAGAAUGGAUGAGAGAAAAGAAAAUCAGAACUAGAGAAAAAGAUAGCGUGAACCGAUGAGAAACACCGUCACAUAAUAAGAUAAGCAAUAGUUUUAGUAUAAUUCAAUGAGAGAAAAUAUGAGCAUUUAAUUAUUAGUGGAAUGGUAUACGCAUACUAGUUGAGCAAUAUUAUAAGAUUUUCAUCAUUAUAAUUCAAAUUUCUCCUAGUAAGGUAUGACCAUUGAGAUUUAUACAUCUAUAUAAGGAGACUUCAAGAGCUAAUUCUUAUGCAUUAUUCAAUUGUUACAUUUUGUUCAUCAUGUCUUCUUUCUUUGCAAGAACUCAUAGGUUCUCAUUGGUUGCUCAACUACUUCUACUAGUCCUAUUGACCAUAAAUCUUCAUAUAGCAGGUCACUCUUUUCCCUUUGUAUUCUUAUAUUAUCACAAAAAAAUUAAAAAAAAAAUAUGUCUCUCCCUUUGGUAACUUGAUCAUUGAUAUGUGUGCAUCCAUUAGGUCCAACUAAUCAAUAAUUUGUCACAUAUACUUUCAUUAUAUUAUUGUAUUUGUUAGCAGGAGCUUCAUGAUGGUGAUAUUUAUAUAGAUUAGCUAUAAAGAGUUGUAUAUUUAAAUUUAAGUGGAGUUGUGGAGGGAGAUUUAGAGGAAUAAAGAUCAGUUGUUUUAACUAUAUCAUGACCUAAUGAAAUUGUGACACCUCUUUUUAUUGGCGAAAUUGUUACACCUAUUAUAAAAUUUUCAGCAAUGGAAAACACAUUUAUUAAUUUUUAUUAGGUAUCAAAAUUUUAUUAAAAUGAAACAUGAUUGAAGACAUAUUUUCGGAAUAUGUGAUAUUUAUUCAAUUUUAAGAGGAGUAAAUAAGUGGGUGUUGAUACAUGCAUGUUGAUAUAUUUUUACAAUUAAUUAUGUAUGUGUAAUAUUUUUUAUAAAAAAAAGUUACAUUCCUUAAAAUAUUAGUAAUAUAUUUUUAUAUAUUAAUCAAUAAACUUGACCCAUUGUGAGAAUAUUUAGAAAAUAAGCUUAUGAAUUUGAUGAGCUUAUGAAAGUGAGAUUUUUUCGCUUAAUACAAUUUAGAAGUGUUUCUAUUUAUGUAAGGUUAAUGAACGUGUUCAUUCAAUUCUGAUCACAGAAUAUAAAUUUAUUUUUUGCUAGCAGAUGCUCAAAUAGGCGUUUGUUAUGGCAUGAUGGGUAAUAAUCUUCCACCAGCAAAUGAAGUAAUAAAUCUAUACAAAUCAAACAAUAUCCAAAGAAUGAGACUCUAUGAUCCUAAUCAAGCUGCUCUAGAAGCACUUAGAAACUCUGGCAUUGAACUCAUUCUAGGUAUACCCAACUCUGAUCUUCAAAGCCUAGCCACCAAUGCUGAUAAUGCACGCCAAUGGGUGCAAAGAAACGUGUUGAACUUCUGGCCUAGUGUGAAAAUCAAGUAUAUUGCAGUUGGCAAUGAAGUUAGUCCAGUUAAUGGUGCAACUUCUUGGAUGGCUCAAUAUGUUCUACCUGCAGUGCAAAACAUUUACCAAGCUAUAAGGGCACAAAACCUACAUGACCAAAUCAAAGUUUCAACAUCUAUUGACAUGACCCUAAUAGGAAACUCCUACCCUCCAUCACAAGGGUCAUUUAGGGCAGAUGUAAGGUCAUACCUAGACCCAAUCAUAGGGUACUUGUUAUAUGCAAGUGCACCUUUAUUAGUAAAUGUGUACCCUUAUUUUAGUUAUUCUGGUAACCCACGUGAUAUAUCUCUUCCUUAUGCUCUUUUUACUUCCCCUAAUGUUGUGGUAAG
rnacentral:lncRNA from 1 species